CCCGCUGAACUUAAGCAUCAUCUAUAAGCCGUAGGACAAGAAACUAACAAGGAUUCCCUUAGUAGCGGCGAGCCGAAGCGGGCAGAGCUCAAAUUUGAAAGCUGGCGUCCUUCGGGCGUCCGCAUUGUAAUCUAUAGAGGCCUUUUCUGUGCUGGACCGGGUCCAAGUCCCUUGGAACAGGGUAUCAAAGAGGGUGACAAUCCCGUACUUGACACGACAACCAGUGCUCUGUGAUAGGUUUUCUACGAGUCGAGUUGUUUGUGAAUGCAGCUCAAAAUGGGUGGUGAAUUCCAUCUAAAGCUAAAUAUUGGCGAGAGACCGAUAGCGAACAAGUACCGUGAGGGAAAGAUGAAAAGCACUUUGGAAAGAGAUUUAAACAGUAUGUGAAAUUGUUGAAAGGGAAACGAUGGAGGUCAGUGGUGUCUGUGCGAUUCAGCCGUCUCUGGCGGUGUGACUUCCCACAGACGGGUCAACAUCAGUUUUAAGUCGGCGGAUAAAGGCAGGAGGAAGGUGGCCACCCUCGGGUGUGUUAUAGCCUCUUGUUGCAUACGCUGGCUGAGACUGAGGAAUGCAGCUCGCCUUUAUGGCCGGGGUUCGCCCCACGUUCGAGCUUAGGACUGUUGACUACUAAUCGGCCAUACAACGACCUUGUACAUGAGACACGGAAGGGCGAAUUAGCGGCCUGCUAAAAUUCAAUUCGCCCCCAAAGAGAG
rnacentral:rRNA from 1 species